rnacentral:hammerhead_ribozyme from 1 species
ACCCAGCUAACAAGUCCCAAAUAGGACGAAACGCGCGUUAAACUGGAU